UACGGGGGGAGCAAGCGUUGUUCGGAUUUACUGGGCGUAAAGGGCGCGUAGGCGGCGCAACAAGUCACUUGUGAAAUCUCCGGGCUUAACCCGGAGCGGCCAAGUGAUACUGUCGUGCUAGAGUGCGGAAGGGGCUACUGGAAUUCUCGGUGUAGCGGUGAAAUGCGUAGAUAUCGAGAGGAACACCUGCGGCGAAGGCGGGUAGCUGGGCUGACACUGACGCUGAGGCGCGAAAGCUAGGGGAGCGAACGGG
rnacentral:rRNA from 1 species